AGAAUGUGUUUUAUGAAUGAAAUGUGUUUUGCUUGCCAUAUGAAUCACCAAAACCUCUGCAUGGUCUUUCACAAGCCAUGCAGUGCUGAGCAGAUAUUGAACCAACAGCUCUGCCCCGCUCCCCCGCUGGAUUCUUCCAAGACAGGUAUGGCCAAUGCCUCUGGCAGAAACCCCUAGCUUCCAAGAGAGCAUGAAAGCUUCUGAAUUUCCCAAGGGAUUCCUCCAUUAAUGUACUAGAUCUGACUAGUAAGUGGGUCACAUGUAAUGCUUCCUUCAAAGACGUGUUCCUAAGAGACCUGCAUGAACACCCUCCAUCCAAACGUGGCUUGCCAUAGCAGAGAUUAAGGAAAAGGGAUAAACAAUUGAAACCACUAAAUGAAGAAUUUGGAUAGCACACUCCUUUCCAAACCCAAACAUAAAAAGUAUACCCAAUGAAUUUUCUUUGUAGAUGCGAAGAGCAUCCCAAUUGCCUUGUCUUUGACUCCUCCCCUCUUCAUUUCUGAGAGUGGAUUUCCUGUGAGUCUCCUGUAUAGCAUACUAUUUUGGACACUGUCCCAAUUCUUACAUCAGGCACUAUGUCUCAGUGACCUGGGCUCGUGGGGCCACGCUUUCGCAUUUGCAGGAAGGCUCUCUCAUACAUACAAGCAUACACACAUACACCUAUAUACACUGGCCCUGUCUUUCACUCUAUUCUAUGUAGAGUCUUCUGCCUCCAAUGCUUACAGCCCUUCAUUCUGCCAGGCAAGUGGAACCCCGUCCACUCCCCAAUCAAACACUCUCCAUCUGACUAGCAGAGGCCAGGGGCCUUACCCACGUACACUUGACUGUCAGCUGCAUUGACAGAAUGGGAGGAGGGCCUCCCCCACCUUUUCCUGCCCAUCAGCUAUGCUGACAGGUGCAGGCAAGCAAGGGACUCCCCCUCUGCCCCAUUCAUGCCCAUCAGCACAUCUGAUGGACAACCGCGGUAGAGGCAUCCCUAGGGCCUCUCAACAUGGAGGGCAGCGCAUUUCCGCCCUGGGUGGGCUUGGGCGAGAUGCUGGCUUGCAUCCUCCGUUGACUUGACGUGUGGGGGCAGGGGUGGGCUCCCUGCAUCUGUCAGGGAGCUACCGCUCACCCACGUGGGCUCUUGGUCUGUCUCUGGCUCCUGCAUGGGUCAACUAAGAUGGAGAUUUCGACAGGCAGAUAAAAGAAUGGGGGUGCCAAGGACAAAGAAAGCAGAGAGUUCAGGGGAAAGAUGCCUUGUAGGUAACUGCAAAGGGUACAAGUGGAUCAUGCAGAGAGAAGACAUUGGCCCAAUGACUCUUGGACCAAACACAUUCCAAAAGCAAAUCCACAACAGAGGCAGAAAAGCACAGUCUUAUAUUUAUAUGUGGUCUACAUUCUCAGCAAUGGUGCAUUCGGAACUGUGGUUCACCACAAGAAACCGAAAGCAUGAUAAGCUGUCCUAAUUGCCUCAGCACAAAUUUAUUGAACACAUACUACAUAUUUAGCACUGAAUUAUCAUCAUUACUGUGGAAGCUGCACACAGCCUGGAAAUACGUGCUUUCUUUCAUUUGGACUGGAGUGGACCAGCCAGGAAGACUACCAUUACCAUCAGUGUUCUCUUGCUGGCCAGGGCUUAUAUUUUCCUUCUCACAUUAAUAAAUAUCUUCGUAGUCUGGUAUGUAACAAGAACAACUAUUUCUAUAGUUUUAAAAACCAAAUUGUACUUCUCUGGGUGGGAAAAUAGUAUGGAUCACAAUCAAGUGUUUGAAAAACUAAAUAUAUCAAAAACCCAAGUUAUACACACACAGAGACAUUCACAGAGACGAUGGGGGACAUACACACAAACACCAUCAAAGAAAAGUAAAUUCUCUCAUCUUAUAAAAAAAAGUCUCUCAUUUCUUUUAGUUAGCAUUCCAAUCAGGGGAUACUUAUAUUUUAAGUAGAUGUAAGAGCACAAACAAUCACUUUUAACACAUGCACAAAAACACUUACUUCACACACACACACACACACACACACAGAGAGAGAGAGAGAGAGAGAGAGAGAGCUUCAGGCAUAAGCUAAAAGCAGGAGCUUGCACAUUCAAUGGGAGAAUCUGUGUCAAAAAGUAACCAGAGCAGAAACCAAAGCAUUGGCAUUCAUUUGCACUAACAUUCUCAGUUCUGGCCUGAUUUUCACAUGUCACAUUUUUCUUUAUUUAUUUCUUGAUCUUCAACUUGGCAAGCACCUGGAGCCAUUCCUUCCUUUGGUUCACCAAGAUCUCCAUUCAGCAGAGGACAGUGCCCUUCUGCACAUACCUCAGCCAGAGUCCAACCUGCAUCUUGUCUGGCCACCUCAAUUCUUCUACACUCUUUGACCCCUCCUGACAUAAACACCAUCUUCCUGUUGGCUGUGCUCAGACAUUCAGGCAAGGAGCUCUAUACUAACUUUGCAGAGGACGUGUGCAUACCACAUGAUCAAUGUAACAACCGAGCAUUUCUUCAGGGGAUUCCUAUCGGAAGCAAGCCCAGCAGAUGUUUGGAGAUGUGAAAGUUCAAAAUUCAAUUUCCCCCAAAACCUGUCUGCAUGGAUUGUAUUUGUUAAUAAGAUUUUCAGGAGGAAUUGUCAGUGCUUUGAUUUGUCAAACAGUCGCUUAGCAGAACAGGUAUGGCUUCCUGCGUCCAAGCAUACAUUGAGAACGGAUUCACUGAGAAGCCCAGUUCAAAAACAGAUCAAUCAAUGAUGGGGGGAGCAGUCUGCUAGAAGAGAAGUUUUCAUCUUGUUCUCAUUGGAUUGACUCAGGCAAGACAUGGCUAAACCAGACAGAAACAUGGAAAACUUAUUCACGUUUCAUGGACAACCACCAGCUGCACACAACCCAGGUGUGCUCCCCGGGCAAACCAUAUCUAUUAAUGCACAUACUCUUUACAGGUUAAAAAAACAUUCCACCAGGUGAAAUAGGAAGCCAGUUAUGUACCAGUCAUGCACCUCUCCACUCUAUAUGUCCAUUCCAGUCACUCACCCACAGUACAGUAGAGUCCAUGGGGCUCAAAAACAGAGGAGAGGUUGACAUCGGCCGUGGGUACUGUCUGACCUUGAAAGACGGGAACUGAGCUCAGAGAGUUCUUGAAGGGAGUGAGCAGGACAUACAAAGAGCACUUUAAAAAAAAAAACAAAAUUACCUAGAUAGCCAAUGGUCACCAGGGCACACACAAGUCUUUUUUCUUAUACAACUUUUCAAGGCUGGGGACCCAUGGACAAAGAGAACUUGGCCAACCUCAGUGCCUCAUGCUUGACAAUUUAAUCUCUCUCUAUAUUUGCUAUCUUAAAUGCUAAACCUGGGUAAAAAAAGGAGAUGGGAGAAUUUCAAAAUAUGUUAACUUUGGAGACUUCAACAUUAAAUUUUUGUUAUCUUCUGUUGACUGAUUUCUUAGAUUUCCACUUAAGAUUGAUGAAGGUAAAUUUGUAAGUACGCAGAAUGAUUUUUUUUGAGGGGUGAGUGGGUUCUCAGCUAUGCUACUUCAUACUAUUUUUAUUUCAAGAACCACAAUGAAGAAGUGUGAUUCUGACAAUAGGGUAGAAACGAGAUACUUUAGGAUUGAGUUCAGUCUACCAUCCAAAUCCAACUCGUGAAGUUACAUCAGGUUUCUGGUGACUCUUGAGUCUGCUCUCAUGAACCGGUGAAGCUUUCAUUUGACAGAGAAAUGUCAAAUACCUACAGAGUUGACAGAUCCCCAUUACAAUUUCAGCUGUAGUUGUGUUAAAUAUUCAAUGUAUUUGAUAAUCCACCUUUUGUAAAACAAUAAUGGAAACUUAUGGUCACGUGGCUUACAUAGUUCUAAAUAAAAAUUGAAAGUAGAUCC
rnacentral:lncRNA from 1 species